rnacentral:rRNA from 1 species
GACGAACGCUGGCGGCGUGCUUAACACAUGCAAGUCGAACGGAAAGGCCCUGCUUUUGUGGGGUGCUCGAGUGGCGAACGGGUGAGUAACACGUGAGUAACCUGCCCUGGACUUUGGGAUAACUUCAGGAAACUGGGUCUAAUACCGGAUAGGAGCUCCUGCUGCAUGGUGGGGGGUGGAAAGUUUCGGCGGUUGGGGAUGGACUCGCGGCUUAUCAGCUUGUUGGUGGGGUAGUGGCUUACCAAGGCUUUGACGGGUAGCCGGCCUGAGAGGGUGACCGGCCACAUUGGGACUGAGAUACGGCCCAGACUCCUACGGGAGGCAGCAGUGGGGAAUAUUGCACAAUGGGCGGAAGCCUGAUGCAGCAACGCCGCGUGCGGGAUGACGGCCUUCGGGUUGUAAACCGCCUUCGCCUGUGACGAAGCGUGAGUGACGGUAAUGGGUAAAGAAGCACCGGCUAACUACGUG